rnacentral:rRNA from 1 species
GAUGAACGCUGGCGGCGUGCCUAAUACAUGCAAGUCGAGCGAACAGACGAGGAGCUUGCUCCUCUGACGUUAGCGGCGGACGGGUGAGUAACAUGUGGAUAACCUACCUAUAAGACUGGGAUAACUUCGGGAAACCGGAGCUAAUACCGGAUAAUAUAUUGAACCGCAUGGUUCAAUAGUGAAAGACGGUUUUGCUGUCACUUAUAGAUGGAUCCGCGCCGCAUUAGCUAGUUGGUAAGGUAACGGCUUACCAAGGCGACGAUGCGUAGCCGACCUGAGAGGGUGAUCGGCCACACUGGAACUGAGACACGGUCCAGACUCCUACGGGAGGCAGCAGUAGGGAAUCUUCCGCAAUGGGCGAAAGCCUGACGGAGCAACGCCGCGUGAGUGAUGAAGGUCUUCGGAUCGUAAAACUCUGUUAUUAGGGAAGAACAAAUGUGUAAGUAACUAUGCACGUCUUGACGGUACCUAAUCAGAAAGCCACGGCUAACUACG